rnacentral:rRNA from 1 species
GAUUGAACGCUGGCGGUCUGGCUUAACACAUGCAAGUGGAGCGGUAACAGAUAUAGCUUGUAGAUGCUGACGAGCGGCGGACGGGUGAGUAAUGCAUAGGAAACUGCGCAGUAGUGGGGGAUAGCCCGGGGAAACCCGGAUUAAUACCGCGUACGCCCUUCGGGGGAAAGCAGGGGAUCUUCGGACCUUGCGCUAUUGGGAUGUGCCUAUGUCGGAUUAGCUAGUUGGUGGGGUAAAAGNCCUACCAAGGCGACGAUCCGUAGCUGGUCUGAGAGGAUGAUCAGCCACAUCGGGAUUGAGACACGGCCCGAACUCCUACGGGAGGCAGCAGUGGGGAAUAUUGGACAAUGGGGGCAACCCUGAUCCAGCCAUGCCGCGUGUGUGAAGAAGGCUUUCGGGUUGUAAAGCACUUUCAGUGAGGAGGAAAACUCUGCGACUAAUACUGGUAGGGCUUGACGUUACUCACAGAAGAAGCACCGGCUAACUCCGUGCCAGCAGCCGCGGUAAUGCGGAGGGUGCAAGCGUUAAUCGGAAUUACUGGGCGUAAAGCGCGCGUAGGUGGUUUGAUAAGCGAGAUGUGAAAGCCCCGGGCUUAACCUGGGAACGGCAUUUCGAACUGUCAGGCUAGAGUAUGGUAGAGGGUAGUGGAAUUUCCUGUGUAGCGGUGAAAUGGGUAGAUAUAGGAAGGAACACCAGUGGCGAAGGCGGCUUCUUGGACCAAUAAUGACACUGAGGUGCGAAAGCGUUGGGAGCAAACAGGAUUAGAUACCGAGGUAGUCCACGCCGUAAACGAUGUCUACUAACCGGAGGGACUCG